GCGUUUGUGGUUUAGUGGUAAAAUCCAUCGUUGCCAUUUGUGUCAAUUCAAUUGACACGAACAGAUUCGAUGGGCCCCGGGUUCGAUUCCCGGCGAACGCA